UCUCUCUCGACAGAAACCCUAGGGACCUUUAUUCCCCCCUCCCGUCGCCUCCCUCUUCCUCCACCACCACAACCCCGCCUCCCUCUUCCUCCACCACCACAAAGCCAACGACCGGCAAUCAUAUACACUACAACAGAUCUCCAAAGAUACAUCCUAAAGCACAAUAAAUUUACCCUAAUCCUCAAAAAUUAACACAUCAAAACGCACCACAAUCUGGAAAAAUGAAGAGAAUCACACAAUGUACAGAGUUUGCGAAGAACGGAGUGCGACGGAAAUGAUGGAGUCUCCAGUGAAAGCACAAAAACAUCGACGGCAGUCAACGCAUAAAGGAAUGAGGACACAGUGAUUACGAAAUUGGGAAUGUUUUGGAGCCGGCGAAACACCAAGUGGUGUUAACUGUUGAGGAGCAGAACUCCUAAGUAUGGCAGAACUCUUAAGUAGUAAGGUGUGAAAGAAGGCCCAUUGAAGUGACAAAAGGAUGGAUAAAAAACAAUAAAAAGAGGUAAUAAGGUGUGAAAGAAGGCCCAUUGAAGUGAUAAAAGGAUGGUACAAAAGCAAUAAAAAGAGGUAAACCUUGAUAAGCCCGAACAUACCUCACCUUGAUUGUGGAGUUGGUAAUUGCCUUGCUGAGAUUGUUAACACAGGUAUCUAUCAAACUAUCAAUAAUGCAGGAGUGAAGUCCUAAAAUGAAAGAUACAAAGAAAGAUUGUAUAUUACAGUGGCCCACAACUAUAAAUACCACAUAUGUGCAAAUAUAACGCAACAAAAUGGGAGAUAUCAGUGAAAGAAAAGGGAGGCCAAGAAGAUCUUUUACCAAAAUGGUAUCUAUCAAACUAUCAAUAAUGCAGGAGUGAAGUCAUUAAAUGAAAGAUACAAAGAAAGGGAGGCCAAGAAGUUCUUUUACCAAAAUAGUAUCUAUCAAACUAUCAAUAGUGCAAGAGUGAAGUCAUAAAAUGAAAGAUACAAAGAAAGAUAUAAUGCAACAAAAUGGGAGAUAUUAGUGAAAGAAAAUGGAGGCCAUGAAGAUCUUUUACCAAACUGGAAUGCAAAAGGGAUUCAUUAUAACCCUAAAAGGGUAGUGAGUAGUCGCCAGCCACCCUCUCCAAGAGAAAAAGAGAGACAAAAAAGUUAACAUAGGCUGCUACCUACACAGAGACUGCAAAAGUUUUGAGAAGAGAUUCCUCCAUAACCAACUCUUCAAGUCUGCACAUUAAAAGAAUCUGUUCAAGUCUACACACAACCAUAAUCGAAGGAAGAAGAAGAAGAAUUUAAUUCAACAGGGAUGGAUUGCAAAGAGUUCUAAAUGAGCAUUGGAAUGGCUUGAAAGUUUGCUUAAAGGUGUAAAUGAGCAUUGGAACGACAUCAACCAUUUCAUAAACUCUCCACCCCCACCCAUCUUUUAUUAUAUUAGUUCAUUUACAUUUCGUUUUGAUACUAUAUACUUAAAGGUAUGUUCUAUUAAAUCAUUUCAUUCUUUAUUAGGAUUUCUUUUGUUAUAUUUUAUAUUUAAAUGUAAUAGUAAAUAGUAGAAAUUGUAAUAGAAUAGUAUAUAAAAAGUAGGCCUUUGGCAGAUAUAGGUUUGUCUCUA